rfam:Stagonospora sp. SRC1lsM3a unplaced genomic scaffold IQ06scaffold_16, whole genome shotgun sequence.
GGCGCGAUGGCAGAGUGGUUAAUGCGCAAGACUUGAAAUCUUGUUCCCUUGGGAGCGUAGGGUGAGUUGUCAGAUCCUGCGUGAACGAACGUGUUUAUUCCUAACAUCCUUUCAAGUUCGAACCCUACUCGCGUCG